rnacentral:rRNA from 1 species
GGAUUUAUCCGUCGGUCGGGCUUUUGGGUCUGUACUGGCGUGAUGGAUUUCUACCUUCUGAAUAACCGGCAUGUCAUUAAUUUGGUGCGCCGGGGAAGCAGGACUGUUACCUUGAAAAAAUUAGAGUGUUUAAAGCAAGCUAACGCUUGAAUACAUUAGCAUGGAAUAAUGAAAUAGGACGUUCGAUCCUAUUUUGUUGGUUUCUAGGAUUGACGUA